CUCAUCACAUCCUGGGGCUGAAGUAGGUCCCAAGGGUAUGGCUGUUCGCCAUUUAAAGUGGUACGCGAGCUGGGUUUAGAACGUCGUGAGACAGUUCGGUCCCUAUCUGCCGUGGGCGCUGGAGAACUGAGGGGGGCUGCUCCUAGUACGAGAGGACCGGAGUGGACGCAUCACUGGUGUUCGGGUUGUCAUGCCAAUGGCACUGCCCGGUAGCUAAAUGCGGAAGAGAUAAGUGCUGAAAGCAUCUAAGCACGAAACUUGCCCCGAGAUGAGUUCUCCCUGACCCUUUAAGGGUCCUGAAGGAACGUUGAAGACGACGACGUUGAUAGGCCGGGUGUGUAAGCGCAGCGAUGCGUUGAGCUAACCGGUACUAAUGAACCGUGAGG
rnacentral:rRNA from 1 species